rnacentral:rRNA from 1 species
AUGGAGGCGGCCNNNNNNNNNNNNNNNNNNNNNNNNNNNNNNNNNNNNNNNNNNNNNNNNNNNNCCGGCGCCGGCGCGGGGCCCGGGAGCCAGCCCUCCACGCCCCCGCCCCCGGCGGCCGCGAGGCCGAGCCGCCUCGCGGCGCUCAUCGGGCGCGCGGCGGGGCGGCGCGGGCCGUCGAUGCUGGUGCGCGAGACGGCGGCGCUGCAGCUCGACCGGAGGCGCGCCGACUGGGCCCACUCCCGCCCCGUCGUCGCGCUCGACGUCGCCUGGAACGUCGCCUUCGCGGCGGCCGCGGCGGCGGUGCUCGCGGCCUCCACCGCCGAGAGCCGCGCCAAGCCGCUCCGCCUCUGGCUCGUAGGAUACGCCCUGCAGUGCGUCGUGCACGUCUCCCUCGUCUGCUCCGGCACCCGCCGCCGCCCCGCCGCCCCCGCGCGAGGCCCCGACAUCGAGUCCGGCGCCGCCAACAGCUCGGAGAGCGAUGAGGGGAACGACGAGGAGGCGAUGGAAGAGAGGGCAAGCUCUACGGACCGUUGUGAGUCGGUCAACACGAUGGUGUCAUUCCUGUGGUGGAUCAUUGGGUUCUACUGGGUGGUCACCGGUGGCGACUUGCUCGAACAAGGUGCUCCAAGGCUGUAUUGGUUAACUGUAGUUUUUCUCUCGUUUGAUGUCUUCUUCGCUGUUUUUUGUGUUGUUGUGGCCUGCUUCAUUGGGGUUGCACUGUGCUGCUGCUUGCCUUGCGUCGUUGCAAUACUAUAUGCUCUGGUUGGCCAGGAGGGUGCAUCAGAUGCAGAUAUUGGUGUUCUCCCCAGAUAUAAAUAUUCCGAUCCCAGUGAGAAUGGAGAAAAAGGGACAGAUGAGGGGGUUAUGAUUCCUAUCCUUAAUAACAGUGGAACAGCAACGAGCGAACGGAUUCUCCUUCGUGAGGAUGCUGAAUGCUGCAUAUGUCUCUCAUCAUACGAAGACGGAGUGGAGCUAUCUGCCCUCCCUUGCAACCAUCACUUCCAUUCAACAUGCAUCACGAAAUGGCUACGCAUGCACGCAAACUGUCCACUUUGCAAGUACAACAUUCUCAAAGGCAGUGAAAACUGA